GAAAUGGUUAUAAAGCAAUCGUAACCCCACAAAUCAAUUACUCCGUUCGUUUCGUGUGAGCGGUAGUGGCAUUUGUCUAAUCUCUCUCAAUCUUCCCGUUUUUCCUUCCGUUUAACUUUGCAUUUACUCUAAAAUUAAUAAGUUAUAAUGCGAGCUAAGUGGAGAAAGAAGAGAAUGCGAAGGCUAAAGCGUAAAAGGAGGAAGAUGCGUGAAAGGUCUAAGUAGAUGGCUACCUAAAAUAGGUGAAUCUUUGCCAGAGACAUUCAUGACACUGAUAUGAAGACUUCUUAGUUGGAUGUGUGUGAUGGUGAACCUGGCAUUUUUUUUCCUUGGACUUUCCACCCGUUUGGAAUUUUAAAUACGAGACUCCGUUACUUUUUACAAGGCUUGUAAUUAACAUCUCUUGAAGUUUAAUAAAGAGUUCUCAUGAAUGUUUUAUUACAUA